rnacentral:rRNA from 1 species
CAGCACCUCAAGUGGUCAGGAUGAUUAUUGGGCCUAAAGCAUCCGUAGCCGGCGCUGUAAGUUUUCGGUUAAAUCUGUACGCUCAACGUACAGGCUGCCGGGAAUACUGCAGCGCUAGGGAGUGGGAGAGGUAGACGGUACUCGGUAGGAAGGGGUAAAAUCCUUUGAUCUAUUGAUGACCACCUGUGGCGAAGGCGGUCUACCAGAACACGUCCGGCGGUGAGGGAUGAAAGCUGGGGGAGCAAACCGGAUUAGAGACCCGUGUAGUCC